rnacentral:rRNA from 1 species
AAUAGAUACCCUGGUAGUCCACGCCGUAAACGAUGGAUACUGUCUGUUGGGUUGUAAGAUUCAGUGGAUAAGCGAAAGUGAUAAGUAUCCCACCUGGGGAGUACGUUCGCAAGAAUGAAACUCAAAGGAAUUGACGGGGGCCCGCACAAGCGGUGGAGCAUGUGGUUUUAAUUCGAUGAUACGCGAGGAACCUUACCAAGGCUUAAAUGUAUAAUGACAGGGGUGGAAACACCUUUUUCUUCGGACAGUAUGCAAGGUGCUGCAUGGCUGUCGUCAGCUCGUGCCGUGAGGUGUCAGGUUAAGUCCUAUAACGAGCGCAACCCUUAUCGCUAGUUGCCAGCGUUUCAAGACGGGGACUCUAGCGAGACUGCCAACGCAAGUUGCGAGGAAGGUGGGGACGACGUCAAGUCAUCACGGCCCUUACGUCUUGGGCGACACACGUGCUACAAUGGCCGGUACAGAGGGCAGCUACCACGCGAGUGGAUGCGAAUCUCGAAAGCCGGUCUCAGUUCGGAUUGGAGUCUGCAACG